rnacentral:rRNA from 1 species
AGGCCCUACGGGGCGCAGCAGGCGCGAAAACUUUACAAUGCGGGAAACCGUGAUAAGGGGACACCGAGUGCCAGCAUCAUAUGCUGGCUGUCCAGAUGUGUAAAAUACAUCUGUUAGCAAGGGCCGGGCAAGACCGGUGCCAGCCGCCGCGGUAACACCGGCGGCCCGAGUGGUGAUCGUGAUUAUUGGGUCUAAAGGGUCCGUAGCCGGUUUGGUCAGUCCUCCGGGAAAUCUGAUGGCUCAACCAUUAGGCUUUCGGGGGAUACUGCCAGGCUUGGAACCGGGAGAGGUAAGAGGUACUACAGGGGUAGGAGUGGAAUCUUGUAAUCCCUGUGAGACCACCUGUGGCGAAGGCGUCUUACCAGAACGGGUUCGACGGUGAGGGACGAAAGCUGGGGGCACGAACCGGAUUAGAUACCCGGGUAGUCCCAGCCGUAAACGAUGCUCGCUAGGUGUCAGGCAUGGCGCGACCGUGUCUGGUGCCGCAGGGAAGCCGUGAAGCGAGCCACCUGGGAAGUACGGCCGCAAGGCUGAAACUUAAAGGAAUUGGCGGGGGAGCACAACAACGGGUGGAGCCUGCGGUUUAAUUGGACUCAACGCCGGACAACUCACCGGGGACGACAGCAAUA